rnacentral:tRNA from 1 species
GGUGGGUUGGCUCAGUGGUUAGAGCGUAGGUCUCGUAACCGAAAGCUCGCGAGAUCGAAUCCCGCUAGAGGCUG